CCGCACAGCAAACACCCAAGUGAGCUCUGUAGCUUCCUUGGCAUAACUCUGUGCCACAGUAUAUCAUUAGCUGUCCUUUACCCUCUGCAUUGGAAGGUAUCCUGAUCCUUUUAAAUGUAUUCAAAAGGACAGCACACGC